CUUGCUGUUCGCCGGGUCGUUCCUCCUUUUCUCCUCAAGUCUGGCGCCGCAAAAGCCUCUCGCCUCGAAGGAUUUCUUCUCCUCUGCCUCGCCGUCCGGCCGCCGUCCGCGCGAAGGGAGACAAGGCGGCGACGAAGAGAGCCACCCCUCCUCAGAGGAUGGUCGCGCUCGCGCAGCCACCUUCCGCGGUCAAGGGACCCAAAGGAGAGGCGGAGAGGAAACAGAGCGACGCACAGGGAAGAGGAGGAAACGGCGGCGGCGGUGCAGGUGGCGGGGGUGGAGGUAGAGGGAAGAAGCGGAAGAACAAGGAGGUUUUCAUCUACGGAAACUACAGGAACUACUACGGCUACCGAAUUGAUCGUAACGUUGGUGAAGAUCCCCGCCUUGAGAUAUUCAAGAAGGAGUGGUUUGCAGGCAAGGAUUGUCUCGAUAUUGGAUGCAACCAAGGUUUGGUCACAAUCGGUCUAGCGAUGAAGUUUGUGUGCCGAAGCAUCCUUGGAGUUGACAUCGAUAAAGGUUUGAUUGAAACUGCUAACUGGAAUUUAAGAAGGAUAUCUCGAACAGGCAACGUGGCUCCGGAAAGUGCCAAGGUUCAUAACUCGUCAGACUCCACAACUCAGAGCUGUCGAGAAGAAGUGGUAUCUGAGAUGCCAAAUGGAAAUAUUUCUAAACACGAACAACCUGAUCUUUUUGAAAUUGUCUCUUUUCGGUCUGAAAAUUUUGUCCAGAGCACACACAGAUAUACAGAACAGUAUGACACCAUCAUGUGUUUGAGCGUGACAAAAUGGAUCCACCUGAACUGGGGUGAUGAUGGCAUAAUCACUUUGUUUGUGAAGAUAUGGAGUCUUCUAAGACCGGGAGGGAUUUUUAUCAUGGAGCCUCAACCUUGGACCUCGUAUAGGAAAAACAGAUUAGUGUCGGAGGUUGCCAAAGAAAACUUCAAUGAUAUCUGUAUAUAUCCUGAGAAAUUCCGGGAGAUACUUCUGGACAAGGUAGGAUUCAGGUCAGCAGAGGUGAUUACCAACAGAUUGGUUGGUUCUGUCGCUGGUUUUGAUCGCCCAAUUGAAGUUUACCACAAAUGAUGGAAUGAGAUUGGCACUUGCCUCUUACCCAGAGGCUCAUGUGAUGCUUCGGGUGCGUAAGUUUGGUGCUGCGGGAUUUGUCGAGCUUCACCGGUGCUUUCUUUGGUACAAAUAUGAUGAUCAAGGUUUCACAUGACGCUAGAUUAGCAGUUUGUGGAAGUUCCUUUUCAACAAGCGCCCAAGGAAUGAUAUGGAUAGGGUGGUGGUGGUAUUGCCUUCCCUAGGUAGUUUUCGAUAAUUUUGUCAGACUUUAGGCAAUUAGCCUUUGUGUAGAUGAAUUUUGUAUGCCAGAGAAGCCUUCCAGUAAUAUAAGAUUUCUGUUCCUAUGAACAUCCUAGUUUUGUCGCGGUUUUACAAUUGCUACCAGUUUAUCAUCUAAACAGGCAUAUCUUUGGGUCGAUUAGAUCAACUUUCAGAUACUAUAGUUGCUUUGCUCAGCUCUGGAGCAGCCGAGGAGAAUCGCCAAUGUCUCUGUCCCUUGCAGCUCAAGCUUCACCCGAGCCCACUCCACGAGCAAUCUGCAGAAAAAGCCAUUGAUCACUCACUGCCCGAAGAUACAACCACAUUCCAAAAGCUCCAAGGAUCUCCCAAAAAUAAAAAAGAAGCCCAAAGCAAGAAGAUGCAACCACAUUCCAAAAGCUUCAGGGAUCUUCCAAAAA